rnacentral:lncRNA from 1 species
UUUUUUUUUUUUUUUUNUUUUAUCCAGAAUCUUCUAAUAUUUCUUUCUUCUGUGAGGCUUAUUGUUCACAGGUUCUUAGGUUCUCCUUAAGGCUCAUCCCUAAUACUCUAAGCAUUACCUAGCCCAGCUAGGUAGGGCCAAACCAAUUAGGUUUGCCUAUAAUCAGAGAGAACUUUCCCAUGAAAGCACUGGAACCAUUCCAGGGACAAUGCCUGCUGGUGCUGCUUAGGUGACAUGGCUGUUCCUAUAAUGGUCAGCGUGGCUGGAGACAGAGGUGGGAGAUGGAGACAGAGGUGGGAAAUGGAGACAGAAGUAAGCAAUGGGUCAAGUAUGGGUCAGCUGCCCAAUCCUGGAAGUAGAAAGCAGUGCUUAACCCCAGCUAAAUUUUGAGGACUAGGAAUGGAAGAGUGGUAGGUUUCCAAAGAUGCUUGACAGACAGAAAAUCCAAGGCCACGAGUGUUUCACCAGCCUCAUUUCUUACACACUGAGACCCAGCUAUGCUUCUCUUGUUUUUGUUUUUCAGAUGUGUCACAUAAAAGAUAUAAAGGCUGCCCCUCUCAUGCCUUGACCUCAUCCCUAUCUAUAUAAAUGCUCCUAGAACUUCCCAGAGCUGGUUCAGGUAAACACCCUUCUCAGAUAUGACUCUAUCUAAUUAUUGGUCACUCCUCCUUCCAGCAGCCUUGGGGACCUAUAAACUCUCUUACUGGAAAAUGAAACGCUACUUCCAGCAGCAGAGAGAGGCAAAAGGUCUUUGGUUCAAGUGCAUUCUCAGUUCAUUGAAGAAAAAAUAAGGAAAAUUACAAGCAACUUUCUUUGUGAAGGUUUUGUUUUCAUCUGUGGGUGUUUAACAAGUGAAGUAUCACUUAUGCAAGACCAGUUUCUAUUCACCAAUCAUAUUGCCUGUUAUACUGGGUCAGAAAUAUUUUAGGGGAUGAGAAUGCCAUGUUGAUUUACUACAUCAUGCAUGGAAACUUGGAAAAAUAAAGCUAAUUAUUCCCCCUCCAAACCAGAAGAAAUAGGGAAGGAUAUAAAUCUCUAUAAAGAAGCUCUUCCUCCAAAAAGUUACCCAGAGUCAUGCAAAGCUACCUCUUGCAGAGGGCAAGUACAUAGCUAUUUUGCAUAUUGGAAAGCUCUUGCAUUUGAUUCCUAAUUCCCUCCACUUAGUAGCUUAUGUUCCUUAACCACUUGGAGCCCUUUUUCCUAUGUCUAAAAUAUGGGUAAUGAUACCUGCAUUGCAAUAUCAUUGAAAAGAUUAGGGAGAAUGAACUUAAAGUACCUCUUACCACUACAUCUACACGAAUUACAGUACAACUUCCUGAUUCCAUAGGUCAACCCUGAAAUUCUAGUGGUUUAGUACCAGUAGAGCUUAGUUUUUGCUCAAGUCAAGUACAAUGUCUUUAAACACAAUGAUUCAGGGUUCAGACUCUUUCCAUCUUGUGAGACCUUCAUCCUUGGAGCCUUACAGUCCUGUGUUUACAGCCACAGGAUGGGAAAGAGCGAGGCUUUAUGAGUAGAGCCUGGAGGUGGACAUCUCCCUCCUCACACCUGCACCCAGUCACAUGGCUCCAUCUAACCGACAGUGCAGGUGAGACAGGUAAUCUAGUUGUGUGCCCCAUGUGAACAGAAAAUAGAACUGAGAAGAGCUGCCCAUCUUGCCCCCUGGUCCCUAACACAGAGAAGAUGUUUGACAGGAUAGAUGUGUUCUAGUUCUGUACAAACAUACACCCACAGUGGAUUUCAGAUCAAGGGCUUUCAAAAUUUCAAGAGAGAACAGAUCCCUACUCUUACCCCGACUACUUCCUGCAUCCUACUAAAAUGAGGCCCCAAUAUCAUUGGGGAUUAGGAAGUUCUUUGGUAGGAAAACAGGGCCAUAUAUCCUAGCCUUUAAGAGAACCUACUGCUAUAAUACCCAUCACAUCUACUUGGAAAACCCCUAAAUAUUUUUACAACUCGGCUCUAAGUACAGUUCUUCAGUCAAGUCAAAUCUGACUGAUUCUGCCAUCCUUCAGUGAGUUAUUAAGCCCCUACACGUACAGUAGUAGUGUCUUUCUUACUUCUGGUGCAGUGCUGUUACCCUAUUAUAGGGCUUCUAAAUCUCAGUCCUAUUGACAUUUUGGAUUGGAUAAUUCUUUGUUGUGGAAGAUGGCCUUGUGAAUUGUAGAAUGUUUAGCAGCAUCCCUGGCCUCGGUCCAGUAGAUGCUGUUAGUAAUUCCAGCUUCCCCCAGUCAUGAGAAUCAUGAGUGUGUCCAGACAUUGCCAAACAUCUCCUGCAGGGACAAAAUCAACCCCUUGUAAGGAUCAUUAUCUCUUAUUACAAUUAUCUCACCAAUCUAGAGAGGCCAUGCCUGACAACCUGUCUAGACUGGCCUCCGUCCUGAAUCAAGUCACUUCUCUGCCACACUGCACUGUUAGAUUUCCUUCACAAAACUUAUAACCAGAUAAAAAUUAGCUGUUUCCUCUGUUUACCUGUAUACUGUUUUCCCAGGCCCUGGAAUGUAAGCCCCAUAGGUCAGGGGCUUCUUCUAUGUAACUUGCUGCUGUGUCCCAAGGGCUUAGAGACAUUUCUCAUACAUAUCAGGUGCUCUUUAAAAAAAAAGCCUUUGGGGAGUUCCCAUUAUGGUGCAGUGGUUAAUGAAUUUGACUAGGAACCAUGAGGUUGCAGAUCUGAUCUUAAAACUUCUGUUCUUACUCUGACGAACUGUCUGACCUUGGAAACCUCAGAGCAGGGAUCAAUUUUUCUCAACUCUAAAAUGGGAAUGUUAAUAAAUCCAUGACAAGUUGUUGAGUGCUAUAAGCCAAAUGACGUAACAAAUAUAAAGCUGUCUCGACCUCAACAAAUGCUAUAUUAUUUCCUUCAGUUAAAGAUAUGAGACUCUGUGCCUGUUGGCCUCUGGAAUAUUUACUAUCCUCUGAACCUAAAAUCAUGUUUUGGUAACAAUCUCCUCUGCAUUUAUCAAUAGGGAGUCUAAUAAUGACAACAAGCACCGUAAAGCCCUUGUAAUAAGAGGAAUACAAAGAAGCAAACUGGAGGCACAAAGCUACCUUUCCCUGGCUUAAUUCUACUUAUUUUAGGAUAAUUUAUAAUCACACAAGACGAAGGCUCAUUUGUCCAUGACACUGCUUCCAUAGAUGUGUCACCAGAAUGCCUGCCUUGUUUCUAUACUUGAUGACCAAAGGUUAAUCUGGGGAUCUCUAUUUCCCUAAAUUUUCAAGACUCAUCUCUUUGCAAUAAAUCGCCCUUUAAAAAUACAUUUAACAAUCUGAACUUCACAUAUGGCUAGUGAUGUUUUUAAAAGACUGAUAGUUCUUUAAACAAUAGUCAAGGGAAGUAAGCAUUAGACACAACUGAAUACUUUGUCAUUAAUUCUUAAAAAGAUUACUAUUCAAUACAACAUAAAUUUGCUACUUAAAUUUUAAUACAACACUUUUUACCAAUUUACUCUAAAUCAUUAUGUCAGGGCUAUUGCUUCUGUUUUGACUCUACCCAGCCAUUUUUUUUUAAGGGCUCUGUAGAUUGUCUAAAUAGAUUCUCAGAGCUGAGGUGUGUGUGUGUGUGUGUGUGUGUUCAGAUGCUCUUACCAAGACUUUUCUUAAAAAAUUAUUUAAAAAAAUUCUUGUCUUUUCUGAUCAUUUGCUUUCAUUUGAUUCUUGGCUUCACCAACUUGGCUAGACAGCAAACCUAGCUUUGCUGUCUAGGCUUCCCGAUUUGUUCUGUCCUGUCUCUCUCAUUAUCAACCAGAAAUAGGAAUUUGAUUAGACCCUGUUGGCUGAGAAUUCUUGGAGGGUUAGGACCACAUCUUUUUUUACUUUAUAUCCCUAGUACAUGAGCAGCAUUCAGUAUAUGGUUAGCACUCAAUAAAUACUUGACAAAUGAAUGGAUGGAUGGAUGAAUAAGGGAAUCUCCAAUUGGAAUAUAAAUCACCAUGACUUGUUCUUCUAUAUUAGAAACAUUUUUAUAUGACCAUCUAUCUUUUCAUAUAAAUUUUGUAUCUCUUAUAAUUUAUGGGUCUAGAAUGAAAUAAAAAUGUUAAAUGAAAUAACUUCAUUAUCAAUGAGUUUAAUGAUGACAUCAAUUAUUAACUUGUCUAGGACACAGGGUUAGAUGUACAGAAUCAUCAGGUUAUUCCAUCUCUAUCCAAAGACCAGUGUCUAGUCUAAACAAAACAUAUUCUAAAUAACAUGGAAACCAUCAAAUAAGCAAAAAUAGCAGAAUGGUUUUGUAAAUGUAAAGAUGAAAUAUUUUCACUAUAGGAGGUGGUAUAGCAGGGGAUUAUGGUUUCUAGAGCCAGACCAUUUGUGUUUGACCCCUGGCUAUGCUCACUGGCUAGCUAUAUGAUACUGGACAAAUUAUCUAACCUGUCUGGGCUCUAUCUGCCAAAUGAGAAAAAAACUAUGACCUGUUCCAUUGGUUUCGUUUCAUCUUUGUGAGAAUUAAGUGAGUUGCUGCACAUGAACUCUUAGAACAAAGAUUGGCACAUAGAAAGAAUUCAGUAAGUAUUGGUUGUUUAUGUUAUUAUUACUAUUAUAAGAUGUUAUAACAAACCUGAGAGUUAAAGAGCUAAAAGUACUUUAAAGCAAAUAAUUGUUCCCUAAGCUAGGUUCUACUCAUUCCUUCUUAAAAACAGCCUAGAGACUCUACCUAGUUCAGUCUAUUGGAAAUACCAUGAAGCCAGAGGGGCAUGCCAGAUCCCUAUAAUUCUGGUCACCUUUAUUUACUUUUUAUAUCUCCCUUGGCUACAAAUUACUUCCCAGACAUAGAUACAGUUUUGUCUUCAGACUCUAACAGGGCAGCUUCUAAUCUAAGGGUCUUAUUUUUUAAAACAGAAGUCCAGUCACUCUCACCUCAAAAUACUUCCACAUCAUGCCAUAACCAUAGUUGGUACUUAGAGAUUUCUAAAUAUCAUACAGUCCCCUUAUAGCUCCAUGGGAUUUGAAAAUACUACUCCUAAUAUGUAGGGAUUUGAAAGUACUGCUCCUGCUGUGCAGAAUAUACUCCAUGUUGGUUAUAUGUCAUCCUGACUUGGCUAAGGAAUGCCCAGACAGCCGGUAAAACAUUACUUCCGGGUAUAUCUAUGGGAGUGUUUCCAGAAGAGGUGGCAUUUGGAUAGGUGGACCAAGUAAAGAUCAUCCUCACCAGUGCAUGCCAGCUCCUCAAACACUUAGAGGGCUGGAGAGAACAAAAGUGGAGAAAUGGAGAAUUAGCUCUUGUUGCAUGAGCUGGGACAUCAUUUUGUGCUGCCAUUAUGCAUUAGCACUCCUGAUUAUUGGAUAGAACUAUACCACCAGCUUUCCUGGGUCUAUAUCUUGCUUAAGACAAAUAGCAGGAUUUCUUGGCUUCCAUGACAGCAAAAACCACUUCCUAUAGUAAAUCUCCUUUUACAUAUAUCUCUACAUAUUCUAUUGAUGCAGAUUUCUGGCUUGCCCGGGCUGACACACUCCCUAAUCUUUUUCAUUUAGCCACAGGUGUUACUUUUUCCAGGAUGUUUCCUCUGACAAACCAGGUAUAACCUGGGUACCCUUCCUGCCCAUUUCUAGAACCCUGUCUUUAACAGCAGAGCUUACUGAAUUGGGGUCGCAGUUGUCUCUAAUCUGUUUCUCUUUCUCACUAGAUGGUGAGGACUCUGAUGAAACCAUCUGGGUUAACUAUAUCAAGUUUCUGUCACAAUGCAUAUUACCUACUAGGACAUAAUAAUUAUUUGUUUAAAAAACUCAUUUAUUGUAAGGAGAAUAAGUCAAGGGGACUAGAAACAGAGAAUACCAACUAUCAGAAAAAAAAAAUACAAGUUAGGUAUUUCUCCUUCUGGUUCUAUAUAAUAUUCUCUCUCUCUUCCUUCCUUCCUUCCUUUUUUUUCUUGGGCCACAUCCUUGGCAUAUGGAAGUUCCCAGGAUAGGGGUCAAAUGGGAGCUACAGCUGCCAGCCUACACCACAGCCACAGCAAUAUGGGAUCCUAGCCACAUCCGCAACCUACAUCACAGCUCAUGGCAACACCGGAUCUCUGACCCACUGAGCAAGGCCAGGAAUAGAACCCACAUCUUCAUGGAUACCUGUUGGAUUCAUUUCUUCUGUGCCACAACAGGAAUUCCAUGAUCUAUAUAGUUUUCAAAUACAGAAAACCACACAUGCAAUCCUUAUGUGGUCCUGUGUCAUGGUAUGGGGUUCAACAGAUUAAAUUCCUUCCCCAUCAUAAGAUACUCCCUGUGGGUCUUGCCAAGCUUAUUAUCCCUCUAAUUUCUCCUAAGAACACAAGCCCACCAUCUUCUUGUCUUCUCACCUAUAAUGGAAACACCUCUCUUGGGAAUCAAAGGCAUCCUA